GUCACUGAAAAAGAUUCAAGAGGUGGAGUAUUUGGCUAUAAAAUAGUAAAAGUUGUGUUGGUUACAAUCAUCAAAAACUUCCGACAUUCGAAGAGGAAACUCAGCUUUCUGUUCUAGAAAAGGAAUAGUGCGUCUCAACAAUGAACAAAAUCUUCCUUGUGAGCCUGCUUGUAUGCUGCGUCGCUCUGCUGACUUUGCCACAAGUGAUUGAAGCGUCCGACUGUCGUUGCAAAAAAGGCCCUUGUGAUGAUUCAUAUGAAGAAGAUGCCGGCCCAUGCACGUACAAGCGAGGAAGAAAAGGGAGAUUUUGCUGCGUCAGUAACCCGAGUGGGUAGAUAAUG